CCUACGGGAGGCAGCAGUGGGGGAUAUUGCACAAUGGGGGAAACCCUGAUGCAGCGACGCCGCGUGGGCGAAGAAGUAUUUCGGUAUGUAAAGCCCUAUCAGCAGGGAAGAAGAAAUGACGGUACCUGAGUAAGAAGCACCGGCUAAAUACGUGCCAGCAGCCGCGGUAAUACGUAUGGUGCAAGCGUUAUCCGGAUUUACUGGGUAUAAAGGCAGUGCAGGCGGCACGGCAAGCCUGGAGUGAAAGCCCGCGGCUCAACCGCGGAACUGCAUUGGAAACUACCGAGCUGGAGUGCAGGAGAGGUAAGCGGAAUUCCUAGUGUAGCGGUGAAAUGCGUAGAUAUUAGGAGGAACACCAGUGGCGAAGGCGGCUUACUGGACGGUAACUGACGUUGAGGCUCGAAAGCGUGGGGAGCAAACAGGAUUAGAUACCCCGGUAGUC
rnacentral:rRNA from 1 species